UUCAACAGAUGAUCUUGGUUCUUGUCAGCAACAUGAACUUAUUCAAAGUACAGCAAAUAAGACAAACUGGGAAUUUGGAAGCAUGGGAACUGAAGAUGAGCUUCCAGAAAAUACACAUUUAGAGGAUGACGGUAUGAGCAGUAGGGGACGAGGUCGAGGACGAGGAAGAAGUCGUGGAUUUGGUAGAGGACAAGGUCGUGGUAGAGGUGGUCAAAGUGGGUCUUGUUUCAAGUGUGGAAAAGAGGGACACUUAUCCAGGGAUUGCUCCUGAUGAUUCUCAAAUUAAAGGUAAGA